AUUGAACGCUGGCGGCAGGCCUAACACAUGCAAGUCGAACGAGUGGCGGACGGGUGAGUAAUGUCUGGGAAACUGCCCGAUGGAGGGGGAUAACUACUGGAACCGGUAGCUAAUACCGCAUACCAUCGGAUGUGCCCAGAUGGGAUUAGGUAGUCGGUGGGGUAACGGCUCACCUAGGCGACGAUCCCUAGCUGGUCUGAGAGGAUGACCAGCCACACUGGAACUGAGACACGGGCCAGACUCCGACGGGAGGCAGAAGUGGGGAAUAUUGCAAAAUGGGGGCAAGCCUGAUGCAGCCAUGCCGCGUGUAUGAAGAAGGCCUUCGGGUUGUAAAGUACUUUCAGCUAGGAGGCGUUACGCGCAGAAGAAGCACCGGCUAACUCCGUGCCAUCAGCCGCGGUAAUUC
rnacentral:rRNA from 1 species